UGGCUCAGUGGUUAAGAGCACUGGCUGCUCUUCCAGAGAUCCUGAGUUCAAUUCUCAG
rfam:Neotoma lepida isolate 417 scaffold_60, whole genome shotgun sequence.